GGUUUUCAUGCAUAGUUUUAUGGUUUUGGAUGAUGUUCUUACCAUCCAUAACCAUAUUAAAACUUUUAAAACCCUAGACUUGUCUAGGAGAUUUCCAUCACCUUUUUCAUUAAAGUCUUUUAAGCCAAAACCAAGUGACAUGCAAAUUUGGAUUUUUCUACCUUGCAUUAAAUUAAAGCAAGAUGGGUGAGACUUCCCAUCUCCCCUUAAUGUGGCCGGCCACCCUAGUGGAUUUAUCCACUUGGGGGUCUUUUGUAAUUUGGAAAAAGAUAUUUUAUACUUUUGAGUAUUUACGGUUUGACCCCUAACUUUUUCUUAUUUGCAUUUAGGCCCCUACUAACUAGAAAGUUAAAAUAUUUGAUUUUAAUUUUGUUAGUUGUUUAAACUCAUAAUUCUAUUAUGCCCAUAUGCACUAAAUCUAAAUGUUCAUGUUGCAUUCCAUUUUGAUUAUUUAAUGUGAUUAAGUAGUUAGAAAAGGGUGACUAUGGACUUAUGCCUUAAACGAUAAUUGAGCUAUAAGAUAAGGCGCUAAAAUCAAAUUGUUUGAACCUUGGGAAUGUGUUUUAAUUACUGUUUUUGUGGACCUUGU
rnacentral:lncRNA from 1 species